rnacentral:hammerhead_ribozyme from 1 species
GUACUGCUGAAGAGUCAAAAACUAGGACGAAACAGCUGUCCAGUAC